AACGAACGCUGGCGGCAGGCCUAACACAUGCAAGUCGAACGCUCGUAGCAAUACGAGAGUGGCAGACGGGUGAGUAACACGUGGGAACCUUCCCUAUGGUUCGGAAUAGCUCAGGGAAACUUGGGGUAAUACCGGAUAAGCCCUUCGGGGAAAGGAUUUAUCGCCAUUGGAUGGGCCCGCGUCGGAUUAGCUAGUUGGUGAGGUAACGGCUCACCAAGGCAACGAUCCGUAGCUGGCUGAGAGGAUGAUCAGCCACACUGGGACUGAGACACGGCCCAGACUCCUACGGGAGGCAGCAGUGGGGAAUAUUGGACAAUGGCGGCAAGCCUGAUCCAGCCAUGCCGCGUGAGUGACGAAGGU
rnacentral:rRNA from 1 species